UACGAAGGGGGCUAGCGUUGCUCGGAAUCACUGGGCGUAAAGCGCACGUAGGCGGGUCGUUUAAGUCAGGGGUGAAAUCCCGGAGCUCAACUCCGGAACUGCCUUUGAUACUGGCGAUCUUGAGUUCGAGAGAGGUGAGUGGAACUGCGAGUGUAGAGGUGAAAUUCGUAGAUAUUCGCAAGAACACCAGUGGCGAAGGCGGCUCACUGGCUCGAUACUGACGCUGAGGUGCGAAAGCGUGGGGGAGCAAACAGG
rnacentral:rRNA from 1 species